rnacentral:rRNA from 1 species
AUGGGAACAAGGAUGACAGUCAUGCGGCGAUUGCCUGUCGCGCUGUCCUCGGCAUUGCUCGAGUGGAUUUUGAUGCUUCUGCUAUUCAUCGACGCAGUUUACUCCUUCCUCAUCACCAGAUUUGCCCGUCUCUGCAAACUACCGGUACCUUGCCCGUUCUGUUCAAGGCUAGAUCAUGUCCUCGGCAAUGAGGAACCCUGCUUCUACAGGGAAUUGAUCUGCAAAACUCACAAGUCAGAGCUCUCGUCUUUGGCCUUCUGUCGCCUCCACCAGAAACUUGUGGGCGCGGAAAGUAUGUGUGAUGGAUGCAGCAGUAGCUCACUUGCUCCAAAAGUGACACCAAACAACAAUGACAACACAGAUGAGCCCGCCGUGGAUGUCGAUGUACUCAACGGUACUCAGGGAGGUGAUGGUGUGUUACAUUCUCCUCUUACUAGAAUGUGUUCAUGUUGUGCACAACAUUUUGAACAACGGAGUGUAUCGCUGUUUUCUCAGAAGAGUGGAGAGCUCCAGUAUGCUAAGUCACCAAAGAUUUGCACGGAUUAUCCUGUAUCAUGGCAACUGGACGAAUCAUUUGAAACCAAUGACAUCUACCACCAGAGUGAUCAUACAUCUCAUGAGAGAUACAGUGCUCUACAGAUGACAUCUGACUCCGAGGUUGAGGUUCCUUGUGCUGAUGAUGCCAGAGAUUCUCACCCUCAUGAAGCCUAUGAUAUGGAAGAGAGAGACUUUCAGGAAGAUGCAGUUUUUGAGAUACCAGGCGUUCCACACCCUGAGGUGGCCAAGCCAUCUGAAAUGAAUGUUCAGGAAGAACAAAAAGCGACUGACUCUGGUGAUGCAUCUUCGGCGGAUCCUGUUCCAAAUUAUGAUCCUGAGAGUGUGAUUAGUGGGAGCCAAAUGGGGGCAGAGGACAUCUCAUCCAGAAGACGAGCAUCACGGCAUGACCCUCUUAUUGCCAUUGAAGAGUUAUCUUUAGAAGAUGCCACCGUUCCCCAAAUUCCAGUUGCAUCAAUUGAUGAGUUACCUAAGAUUCUUGGUGAAACUGAAUCAUAUGAGAUGACAAGUGACAGCAUCAUUGAUCCAUAUACAUCUCAAUUGACAAUACUCGAACAACACUAUGCUGUUGCAGCGGACAAAAAUAUAAAAGAAGAAGCUCAGGGGGGAGAAAUCACUGCUAUAUCAAGUGGCAUGUUUCACCAGAGAAGCACAUUGGCUAAUGAUCCAGUUACAAGUGAACCAGUACCCAAGGACUAUCACUAUGUUGCUUCAGAAGAUAAUUUUGGGGAUAUCCCCGUUUCACAGGUUAGUGCCGAUUCAGAAACUCUUGCUGAAGUUGAAGAUAAUCCUAAAAAGGCCGAAUCGAUCGGUGAUACGGGAAUAGAUGGACUAACAUCACAAGAUCCUUCCAGUUCAGCUUUCAAAGAUUUGGUAUCAAAAGGUGCGAAAGAGGCUCAUAUUCCACCAGUUGCUGUCAGAUCAAAUGGUGAGGUAUCUCAGGGUCUUGAUGCAAUUGAGGAACAUCCCCAAACAAUUGAAACGGUUGGUGAAAGGAGACCAUCUCUUAGCACACAGAUUAGCAUGAACGAAGCCUACAAUCUUGCCAUUGGUAUGAGGAGUGGUUUCCCAUCCCCAACCUUGACAGAUGUGAUUCUUGGAAAGGGCUCUUCGGCUAGUGUAAAUGGAGAAUUGAGGCUACUACUAUCGCAACUCUCGGCUUCCAGGGGGCUCGAGGCAACUUGGCUUGACCCAGGCCCUAGCCCACGCGCGUAUGGGCGUGGCGAUGAUCUGAUAGUGCAGAACAUAACAAGAAGAAUCUCGCUCGAGAGAAAUGUUUCUGGCCUGGAAUCGCUGGACGGAAGCAUUGUUAGCGAGAUGGAAGGUGAGAGCACCAUCGACCUGCUGAGACGACAGAUUGAUCUAGACCGGAAGUCGAUACACCUCCUCUGCAGGGAGCUGGAGGAAGAGAGGAAUGCUGCAGCGAUCGCUGCAAACCAAGCACUGGCCAUGAUCACCAGGCUGCAGGAUGAGAAGGCUGCAAUGCAGAUGGAAGCCUCUCAUUACCAGAGGAUGAUGGAGGAGCAAGCAGAGUACGAUGGCGAAGCGCUCGCUGAAGCUAACGAGCUGCUUGCUCAAAGAGAAGAUCAAAUACAGGAAUUGGAAGCCGAGCUUGAAAAGUGCAGGACACAGUCUGCAGGUGGAGGGCCAACAGAGAAAGAAGACAAUCAGCUCCCCUUUGAAGAACAACAUAGCACUGUAGCUUUGCUUGAAGAUGAGAGGGCAUACAUAUCAGAAAGUUUGAGGAAGCUGGAGAAGAAACUUCACUUGUACUCCAACAACAAUACUUCAACAGAUUUAUCAAAUUCAGAUGCUAUAGAGGAGACACAAGAGUCCAUUCUCUUGGCUAAGGAAGGUCAAUCUUCUAGAAUGGAUGGGGAGGCUGACCUAUCCACAUUUCAAGAGGAAAUCUCGAGCUUGAAUAAAAGAUUGAAGACUCUAGAAGGAGACCGGGAUUUCCUCGAGCACAGCAUAAACUCCCUUAAGAAUGGAAAAGAAGGUGCGCAAUUCAUAAGGGAAAUUGCCUGCAACCUCAGAGAACUCCGAGCUAUUGCCAUUGAGAGCAAAUAG